CGAAACCCAUAUGCCAAAGCAAACUGGAGCAGGACUGCUCCAUCCUUCUCCAGUGUCACCUCCUGGAAGUCCUUGUUUCUGAGGAACAAGAGUAGAGAAAACAUCCCAACUAACUUCUAUUUCAAACUUCAAAGAGCCCUGUGCUAAGCCAGGUCUUGCUCAAGAAUGCUGUCCUAGUUCUUUGCCACCCAAAGAAAAGAGAUGAAGGAACCAUCUGACAGAUCCUUUUCAGCUGGUUGGAGGACCCACCACCUGAGCUGGCUUUGCUGAGGAACACCUGUGUUGAAUAAAUCCUUAAAAGCUGAGCAAAUGGAGCCUGAACAAGAGCUUCAUUGUGACAGAGCUUUAUAGCUGGCUUCAGCCAAGUUAGAGGAAGCUUUUAAAUAGGAGUGGGUCAUAAAACAAGGAAGCAAACCAUUCCUAAAGGCUUCCAGACUCCUAAGGUUGGUGGCAAUACCUGUUCCUGAUAAAAGAGUGAGUGAUUUGAUUUUUAUCAUGUAUUUCAUAGUGAGCCUCAGGGAGACUGUUUCUUCUGCUUCCUAGUCCAGAGAAUCUUAAACUUGAAUAUUACUAAUCAAGGAUGUAAUUCAUAACAAAUGGUACUUAGUCAUUGUAGCUGGUACAAAGAAUCUUAGCUGACUGAGCCUCCAUGCCCAAACUCAAGGGACUUGUUUUCUGCCUUCCACAGCACAACUAAAAAAGCCCCAAAGCCCUUACACAAGCUCUUCUGUGACAGUGAGAUUAGCAACUACUUCAUUGGCCUGGCUGCAGGUGUGGCAGCUCAGAUCCAUGGGAGCUCUGUCUUCUAAAUGACUCCAAAAGUUGCUGCAACUUGAUAGUGGGAAAAUCCAUCAGGCCAAAGUCAAGCUUGUGGGCACUGCAGGGGCUGAACUCUCCAAGGCAAAGGCUAUGUGAGCACUGCCUGAUUUAUUGCCCAGCAACUGUGGGAGUGAGAAGCCAAUUCCCAUGCCUUGGAGUAAAAUCUUUAACAUUGCAAAGAAAGUUUCAGCCCAUCAGCAAGAUAAGAGCAUGAACAGAAUUCCAAUGAAAACAGUGCUUUCUGUAGGGCUUUAAAGCUUCUUACUUUAAAGGUUUGUACUGAACUGUAUCCACUUGGAUUCCAAAGAGCUCCUUGGCUGCAUAUUUGUAUAUGUGCUCCAAGUAGCCACCAGAACCACCUCCAGAGUGGCUUGUGAGCUCCUCUUCUGUACUGCUGAAUCUGCAGGGAGGAAGAAAGAGAGUUUUAGGGGAUCUCUGAUAAGCCAAAACAACCAGCACAAAUGCAAAGGUCCAGGGGACUCAAAAACAACAGAAUAAACUCUUUUUGAGCUCCUAGCUUUUCCUUUUCUCUUGGGAACCCACUAUUUAUAGCUUUAGAGCCCAGCAGCUUUAACUCUGUGCUGCCUGCAUCCUCUGGUCCAGCUCAGUGGAAAUACCAUUGCAUGCCACAACCAGGCUUGAUCCUGCCACCUCAAUAUUGCUGCUGGGAGGUAUCAGCGCUCUGACCACAAGCACAGAGAGACAAACCCCACGUUGUUGUGGUUUUGUGUGCUUAGAGUCAGGUAAGAAAGGUGAACAAAGCUAAUGAUGCCAGGAUGUGGCUGUCCUCAGCAGGCUCCUGGUUCAAGUUCAGCACAGUUGUGUUUAACCCCAGUUCUGUCAUUCUAGUUCUGCACAAGUAAUUCCCUCUCCCUGACAUGCCAAAACACAACCAACCACUCACAGGUCAAGAUAAUGUUUCUUGAGAAUAUCUCACCAGAUGGAAGCCACAACAAUAGCUUUUGUUAGGAGAGAAUAACAAGAUGAGGGAUCUGCUCAUAAGCACUCCUCAGGCACCGACACUUGCGUUCUCCUAUGAACAGCUGCGGAAGGGAAAACACUUGAACUCAGGCCAAAGAGUUUCAAGUCAAAUGGAAGAUGUUGCCUCUCCCAGAUAACAUCUUUGCUUUGGCAGAGCUGCAGAAGGCAACACUCGAGCCUGCAAUCGCCCCCGAACCUAUUUUUAAUGUGAUGUUGUUUACAGGAACUGAGCUUCAUUAACAGCAUGUUUCAGUGUG